UACGUAGGCAGCAAGCGUUGUUCGGAGUUACUGGGCGUAAAGGGUGCGUAGGCGGCUGUUUAAGUUUGGUGUGAAAUCUCCCGGCUCAACUGGGAGGGUGCGCCGAAUACUGAGGGACUAGAGUACGGGAGAGGAAAGUGGAAUUCCUGGUGUAGCGGUGAAAUGCGUAGAUAUCAGGAGGAACACCGGUGGUGUAGACGGCUUUCUGGACCGUAACUGACGCUGAGACACGAAAGCGUGGGUAGCAAACAGG
rnacentral:rRNA from 1 species